UACGUAGGGUGCGAGCGUUGUCCGGAAUUAUUGGGCGUAAAGAGCUCGUAGGCGGUCUGUCGCGUCGAUCGUGAAAACUUGGGGCUUAACCCUGAGCUUGCGGUCGAUACGGGCAGACUAGAGUUCGGUAGGGGAGUCUGGAAUUCCUGGUGUAGCGGUGAAAUGCGCAGAUAUCAGGAGGAACACCUAUAGCGAAGGCAGCUUGCUGGGACGUUACUGACGCUAAGGCGCGAAAGCGUGGGGAGCGAACAGG
rnacentral:rRNA from 1 species